rnacentral:misc_RNA from 1 species
CGGAGGACGCCGCCUUUAGUCCAGUACCUGCGGCAGCUCUUGCAGAAGUGGCGUGGCUGCGAGAGGUUGUAGUUGUUGUAGUAGCAAAACUUGGUGUUAAGUGAGUCGCACCUGGGGCACUUUAAUGCUUGGUGGUUCUGCUGGUGAUGCGGCCUCAGCCUCCGGUCUCCACCUCCGCCGCUAAAUAACCGGCCUCCGCCGCCAAUUGAGUGGAUAUCUUGCAUUUCGUAGCCUCCGCCACAAGUCGUACUCGAAAGAAACACUGAACUUGCUAAUAUGUAUGAACCAAAAUCGUUUGUUAAUAGUGCAAAACGAGUAUAAAAAGCAAAAUUGUUGCUUACAAUCCAGUUUCCCUCUUGAAAUUGCUCACAUUAACCGACCACGAAAUGGAAACUCAGAAUCGAGAGAAAGAGAGAGAAUCGAG